GACUUGGCUUGCAAUGAGGUUUCAGAGGUUAAGGAAGUUUUUAGGGUUUUUGCCAAUGAUAUACGGCAGGUUGCUUCCACACUGUCAUUCUCUGAAGUUCUGCCUGUGCAUAACACUCAGAACGACAGGCGGAUGCGUAUUAGGGACUUUAAUUUGUGGCUUGGUGAAUGGUGUCAGGAGCAAGGAUUUGGCUUUAUUUCUCAUGGUAG